rnacentral:tRNA from 2 species
GACACUUUGGCCGAGUGGUUAAGGCGAUGCCCUGCUAUCCUUUACUGGUUAUCAUAGGCAUUGUGUUCGCACGCGCAGGUUCGAAUCCUGCAGGUGUCG